rnacentral:rRNA from 1 species
CCGCACAAGCGGUGAGCAUGUGGUUUAAUCGAUGAUACGCGAGGAACCUUACCUGGGCUCAAAUGUAUGUUGACGUAUUCUGAAAGGGAUACUUCUUCGGACAAUAUACAAGGUGCUGCAUGGUUGUCGUCAGCUCGUGCCGUGAGGUGUCGGGUUAAGUCCCAUAACGAGCGCAACCCUAUCAUUAGUUGCCAUCAGGUCAAGCUGGGGACUCUAAUGAAACUGCCUACGCAAGUAGUGAGGAAGGUGGGGAUGACGUCAAAUCAGCACGGCCCUUACGUCCAGGGCUACACACGUGCUACAAUGGCCGGUACAAAGGGCAGCUACCUGGUGACAGGAUGCUAAUCUCAAAAGCCGGUCUCAGUUCGGAUCGGAGUCUGCAACCCGACUCCGUGAAGCUGGAAUCGCUAGUAAUCGUAGAUCAGCAAUGCUACGGUGAAUACGUUCCCGGGCCUU